GAUGAACGCUGGCGGCGUGCCUAAUACAUGCAAGUCGAGCGAACAGAUGAGGAGCUUGCUCCUCUGACGUUAGCGGCGGACGGGUGAGUAACACGUGGAUAACCUACCUAUAAGACUGGGAUAACUUCGGGAAACCGGAGCUAAUACCGGAUAAUAUAUUGAACCGCAUGGUUCAAUAGUGAAAGACGGUUUUGCUGUCACUUAUAGAUGGAUCCGCGCCGCAUUAGCUAGUUGGUAAGGUAACGGCUUACCAAGGCAACGAUGCGUAUCCGACCUGAGAGGGUGAUCGGCCACACUGGAACUGAGACACGGUCCAGACUCCUACGGGAGGCAGCAAUAGGGAAUCUUCCGCAAUGGGCGAAAGCCUGACGGAGCAACGCCGCGUGAGUGAUGAAGGUCUUCGGAUCGUAAAACUCUGUUAUUAGGGAAGAACAAAUGUGUAAGUAACUAUGCACGUCUUGACGGUACCUAAUCAGAAAGCCACGGCUAACUACGUG
rnacentral:rRNA from 1 species